AUGCCACGUCGCGAAAAAUGUGGUAUUUCGUACUCAAUUCAGUUCUCAGGCUCGACUACAGGACUCGUUUAAAAGUUCGGAAACCGUUGCUUCCGGCAACGUGUCGUCGUUCUUCUUAUCAGUGAAAGUCACUCUAUUAAAAUGCGCGUGUAAGCGUCUCGUAAAGGGGAAUCGAGUGGAUCGUUGGUCUCACAACACCAACGCAAGGUGCCAUCGAGACAAACACGAGCCUGUUCGACGGCUUUCCAUUUCCAUUGACGUCGAUUUUACUUUCGGCAAGUUUAAUAGAUUUUCCGCGCUGAUAAUCAAGGAGGUCGAGAAAUUAGAAGCGAACAAAAACGAUAGCUAAAGUGCCGAGAAUACUUACUCGAGGUCAAGAUUUUUUAAUUCCUCGUCGAUGCUCGAUAUGAACGAGUAGUUCGAUAUAUCGAACGAGUUGUAGAUAUAGGUCUCUCUUGCUUGCUGCAUCUCCGCUUAAAAUAUAUUAUCUGAAAUAUACAAAUAGAGGGAUCAUCGAUAAGAAAACUAUGCUAUUUUCAUAGAUAAGAAAAUAAAAAUAGGAAUGGUUCGACGACCCGGUAAAGAAAAAAAAAAAAGGAAAAAAAAGAAGAAAAAAUGAAAAGAAGAUGACUGUAAAGGAAGAAACGGCUUAUUCGACGAUUCAAUUUCUUCCGGUAAUUGUGACUCUUUCCCUGAUCGAACAACGUUCCUUUCGAUUGAAUAACCCGAAAGAUAGACGACGUGUGACCAGUGAUCUAGUUUUCUCGGAAUUAUGCAUCACGCGAAAGAAAGAGCUUUCGAAGCUUUUAAGAGUUAAAAGGCAUCGAGUCACGAUCGCAUUGAAUUUUCCAUUCGGACCUAACGUUUACCCGUUGACAUUAAUUGGAAAUCGAUGCCGUUUGCCUCUCUCCAUUUCUCUUUCUAUUUCUACGGUACGUUAAACUGACGCUAUUUAUUUCGAACGGUCGGUCGUCCAUUUAAAAAAAAAAAAAAAAAAAAAAAAAAAAAAAAAAAAAAUUACAACGAACUUUUCAAAUCUCAUAAAUAUUAAAAAUGACAAAAGAACAAAUUCGAAAUUUAAAGUUUGUUUUUCCAAAGAAUUUCUUUGAAUUACAAAGAAUUUUAUCGAAUUAUAUUAGACGAAAUCCGAUAGUGUAGGAAAAGAUCUUCGUGAUUUCAGUGAAUCUCAAUUGCAAACUUUACUUACUCCUCGUUAAAGUUUUAAGAUGAGGACGUCGUCUCUACAGUUAUAUGUUGUACAAUGUCCGACGUUUUAUCCGACGAUCCAAACGAUUGCACUAACAAUGCGAAAAAAGGAGGCUCGAGUCUGCCCACGUCUAUGAGGGCUCUCUCCGUCACUUUAGUUAGCCUAUUACUACCAUUAAACAAGUUACUCUUCGUACAGCUUUAUAGCAUUGACACUCACCGAUAAAAUCUUUUCUUAGUGAUAGAAACAUUUUUUUUUUGCUUAUUGACAUGGCAUCUUGCAUAUGAAUCGUGUGCCAACUUUCCUUCAUUAAUAAUAAAUUUAUCUUUUCAUUUUUAGAUCAACGUCACAAUCAUUACUUUUAAAAACUCAUUUUUAAGAAUCAUAAUGAAAGUCGUAAAUUAUCUUUUUUAUAUAUUUCAAAUAGAGAAUAUAUUCAAGGAAAGAUUGAUCAACAAAUUUAUAUAUUCAAACAUAAUUGCAAAAUGAAUGAUAUAACAAUAUAGAUAUGUAAAAUAUCGCUGUCCUCGCUCCGAUUAGAUUCUUAUUAAUACAUUUACUUCAUUUGUUAUCAUUCUUCAACGUGUAUGGAUUAAGAUCUAACAAAUCUCUUUUGAGAUUAAUUCGAGAUUAAAGUAUCAUUAUACAAUGAUUUUACGAGUUAUAAAUUAAUUUGACUAUAGAAUUUAUUUAUUUAAUUUGACCAUAUAAUUAUGAACAUUUAUCUGUAUACCACUUGUAAAAUAACUGAACGAAAUAUGCCAAUCGAAUAAGUGACAAGAUUGUAUCAUUCCAAUAAUCAAUAGAGACUUGUUGGAAGGAAACAAAAAAAUAAGAUACAUAAUUAAUAUAUCAGCAUAAAAAAAAAAUAGUAUAAAAAUAUUAAUUCAUAAUUUUUUCCCCUGGAAAUCUCUUUUUUCCUUCAAAAAAAAAAAAAAAAAAAUUUAUGCGUCGGAAUGCAGUCCAUAUAUCUAUUAUUAUCAUUUCUACAAACCACGAUAACGAUAAUAUCCGUAUUUACCUUUCUUGGGAGUGUCUUCGACGAAAUUGAGAGUAGGCCGUUAUCAAGUCGUGUUAUUAGUAUCUAAUAAUUGAUCGUAACUGAUUUUCAUAUUGAAUUGUGUUUAACUUCGCAUUGAAUUGUGUUUAAACAAUGAAAUUGUCUCUGUUAAUUAAUAUUCUUUUAAUAGCUUUAUCAGAUCGUCAAUAAUUUGUAACUCAUGCUUAAACAUUAAUUAAGAUCAUUGGAAAUAAUGUAAACAUUUUGUUAAAAACAUUUAACAUUCUAUUAUAUACCAAAGAGAACAGUAGCAUAUAAUUAAAAUUAAUGAUUAUUAUAUGUAAUAUGUGAUUUUAAACUUACCGAAUAUUUCUUUCUGUUAAAGUUUACAAUUUUGGAUUUAAUCGAAACAUAGUGAAGACUAUUUUAUAUGAACAAGAUUGAAAAAAAGCACAUAAUUAAAAGUAUCACAUAAUUCACAAAUGAUAAGUUGAACUUUUGUAGAUAUAUUGCGAUUCAGACAUAUCUUUACAAAGAAUACUAUCUUAAGCCUGUUCACCACCUUUCGCUUGAAGCGUGUGUGACUUCAGCGACAACUAUGGACAAUAUAUGAACUACAAGCACAAUAAGAGAUAUUGUUCCAACUUACGUAAAUAUCGCUAUGGCUUUGUAUGUGUUGAUUAUACCUCUUUCAGAAAUAAUCUAAUAUUCGAAUUAGAGUUAUUUAUUAGUAUUGAUAUACUAGUGUGUUAAGAAAAACGGUGAUUCUAUAUUAAAAAUCUACGUUCGCGAGAUAAUCUAAUCGAAUUUUUAAAGUAAAAUUUUCAAAAACUAAAUUCUCGAUAAUAUUUUUAAUCGUGCUCGUGAAUACUAAUACCUGUGUACUGUCCAACACGCAUACAAAUAUUCUCCCUAUCUUUCCCGUAUUCUUGCAUAAAAAUUGAUGAUGAAUCUAUUCUCUCGAUGAUUCCUCGAUGAUCCUGAGAAAAGAAAAAGAUAAGAUGAAAAUAAGAAGAGAAAGAGAAGAAAUAUGAGAUAGAAAAGGAAACCGAAGAAAGAAAUGAAAAGAAAGUCGAAGAAAGAAAAGAAGAGAGAAAAUUGAAAACGAUCCGCGUUACGUGUUCAAAAUGAGAAGUAGACAUAUUGAAUAUCUUUCCAUCCGACGACCAAAACUGGAGUACCAAAAUCGAGCUCGAUUUUUGUGUAUUAAAAAAAGAUCCAUCUAAGAGAUCCAAAACAGAAGGACCCUUCUCAAAGAUUCCACCUGAGAACUUUAAACGAUGCUGAAAGAGCAGCCCAUACAAAGGCCCAUAUUCAUGGGUCCCAUUCAUGGGUCUAAUCCAAGACAUAAAUAAUGAUUAAUAAGAAUAGAUAAAAAUAAAUAGAAAAAAUGGCGAGCAUAAGUGGGAUUAGAAAAAUUUUCUAAAUAAAAAGAUAUGCAAACAUUCGCUCGGUAAUACUUGCAUCCCAUAAGAUUUCAAUAUAUUGCAAGUACAAUAUUAUCGACUCAGAUCUCACUGUGUAAAAUUUAUUGCAUCUGGAAAUUUAUUUAUAGCCUUCCGUACAAAAAUCUAAAUCGAUAUAUAUAUUCAACAGGGUCAAUUUUAAAUCGAUAAUAUAUGAUAGUAUAUAUGUAUAUACUAUAAUAAUACUCUAAUUAAUAAGCUUUCAUUAAUUAAUCACGUUUGAUGAUAUUUCAUUUUAUAUAUGCGACUAUCAUAAAUACUCGCGUAAGUUCAUAUAAACAUAUGUAUAUAGAUAUAUCUCUUAGGGAUACACGAUAUGUCUUGUAUACAUACAUAUAUAUAUAUAUAUAUAU